UACGUAGGUGACCAGCGUUGUCCGGAUUUACUGGGCGUAAAGAGCGCGCAGGCGGUCGUUCAAGUCGAGUGUGAAAGCCCCCGGCUCAACUGGGGAGGGUCACUCGAUACUGAUCGACUUGAAGGCAGGAGAGGGAAGCGGAAUUCCCGGUGUAGUGGUGAAAUGCGUAGAUAUCGGGAGGAACACCAGUGGCGAAGGCGGCUCACUGGCCCGGUACUGACGCUGAGGCGCGAAAGCGUGGGGAGCAAACAGG
rnacentral:rRNA from 1 species